rnacentral:rRNA from 1 species
AGUCGUAACAAGGUUUCCGUAGGUGAACCUGCGGAAGGAUCAUUACCGAGUGAGGGCCCUCUGGGUCCAACCUCCCACCCGUGUUUAACGAACCUUGUUGCUUCGGCGGGCCCGCCUCACGGCCGCCGGGGGGCAUCCGCCCCCGGGCCCGCGCCCGCCGAAGACACCUGUGAACACUGUCUGAAGUUGCAGUCUGAGAAACUAGCUAAAUUAGUUAAAACUUUCAACAACGGAUCUCUUGGUUCCGGCAUCGAUGAAGAACGCAGCGAAAUGCGAUAAAUAAUGUGAAUUGCAGAAUUCAGUGAAUCAUCGAGUCUUUGAACGCACAUUGCGCCCUCUGGUAUUCCGGAGGGCAUGCCUGUCCGAGCGUCAUUGCUGCCCUCAAGCACGGCUUGUGUGUUGGGCCCCCGUCCCCCCUGCCGGGGGGACGGGCCCGAAAGGCAGCGGCGGCACCGCGUCCGGUCCUCGAGCGUAUGGGGCUCUGUCACCCGCUCUUGUAGGCCCGGCCGGCGCCAGCCGACCCCCCUCAAUCUAUUUUUUCAGGUUGACCUCGGAUCAGGUAGGGAUACCCGCUGAACUUAA